rnacentral:sRNA from 22 species
CACACAUUACCCUGAAACCGCACAUGCGCCGGCACAUCCAGUCGGGUGCCCGUUGAGACAGACGGGUUUCUGGAUGGGGCGCAUGGAGGCUCAAC